rnacentral:rRNA from 1 species
UACUUUAGGAUCGGCCCGCGGCUUAUCAGCUAGUUGGUAGGGUAACGGCCUACCAAGGCUAUGACGGGUAGGCGGAGUGAGAGCUUGACCGCCAACAAGGGCACUGAGACACGGGCCUUACUCCUACGGGAGGCAGCAGUCGAGAAUAUUGGUCAAUGGGCGAAAGCCUGAACCGGCGACGCCGCGUGCUUGAGGAAGCCCUUCGGGGUGUAAAGAGCUUUUUCCGCCGAUGAAGCUUCGGCUGACAGUAGGCGGAGAAUAAGGGGAUGCUAAUCACGUGCCAGCAGCAGCGGUAAUACGUGAUCCCCAAGCGUUAUCCGGAUUUAUUGGGUGUAAAGGGUCCGUAGGCGUCCCGCAAGGUUUUCCGUUAAAUCUCUAGGGCUCAACCUUAGAGCUGCGGAAAAAACCGGCGGGAUAGAGGGCGUUAGAGGCUGAUAGAACGCACGGUGUAGGGGUGGCAUCCGUUGAUAUCGUGCGGAAUACCAAAAGCGAAGGCAUUCAGCUGGGGCGACCCUGACGCUGAGGGACGAAAGCGUGGGUAGCAAAAAGGAUUAGAUACCCUUGUAGUCCACGCUGUAAACGAUGGACACUAGCUAUCCGAAGUGUCGACCCUUCGGGUGGCCAAGCUAACGCGUUAAGUGUCCCACCUGGGAAGUACGGCCGCAAGGCUAAAACUCAAAGGAAUAGACGGGGACUCACACAAGCGGUGGACCAUGUGGCUC